ACCUUUCCAAAAUGAAAUUUUUUAUCAAAAACUAUCUAGAUGUUGGAAAAUUACCCGAAAAAUCAAAAAUACACAAAAUGAUCCGCUUUUUAUGUGAGCCAUAUGAAAAAAGAAUCUACGAUGGAAAAGGUUAUCCAUCUAUGACCGAACAAUGGAUCUUAGCCAAAGCAGUAGUAAAGGAAUUUCCUAUAUUAAAAACUCUUAGAAAAUUGGAUUCGCAAACAGAUGAGUUUCCAUUGUUUGCUUGGAAAGGCGGUCAAGAAACUGGGGACCACUCUGGGUGAUAAUACUCCAGAGUUAGGAAUAUAAUAAAGAAGCUUCCUACUGAAUUGAAAAAAUAUUCUCGCCGAAUAAUUAUUGACCCGGAAUCAAGGGAUACUGAAUCCAUGAUUCAAAUUGCAGACGAUUUGGUAGAAGUUUUUCCAAAUUCGAGCAACAAAUUAUUCAUCAAUAAGGGAAUGAAGAAGUGCGAAUUCUUGCACGCCUCGAUGCUAAAAUACAACAAAACCCCGGAAGAAAUAUUAGAAAAAAUUCCUCAUUUCAAAUCAUACGAUGGU